rnacentral:rRNA from 1 species
UACGAAGGGGGCUAGCGUUGCUCGGAAUCACUGGGCGUAAAGGGCGCGUAGGCGGAUCUUUAAGUUGGGGGUGAAAGCCCAGGGCUCAACCCUGGAAUUGCCUUCGAUACUGGAGAUCUUGAGACCGGAAGAGGUAAGUGGAACUGCGAGUGUAGAGGUGAAAUGCGUAGAUAUCUGGAGGAAUACCGGUGGCGAAGGCGGCAUCCUGGACCGGGAUUGACACUGAGGAGCGAAAGCUAGGGGAGCAAACGGG